CCCUAAAAACUAUGGAACAAUUAGAGAACGUGUACUUUCCCCGGGUUAGUCAAUACCGGUUUUGUCAGCUAAUGAUAGAAAAUCUUCCUAAACUUCGUGAGGCCAUUAAAGAAAUCUCCAUGUCUGAUCUCAAAGACUUUUUGGAAAGCAUUCGAAAACAUUCUGACAAAAUAGGUGAAACAGCAAUGAAACAGGCACAGCAGCAGAAAACCUUCAGUAUUGCUCUGCAGAAGCAAAACAAUGUGAAAUUUGGGAAAAAUAUGUAUAUAAAUCAUGAUAGAAUCCCAGAAGAAAGGAAUGAAAUUGUAUUGAAACAUGCACUUGAGGAAGAGGAUGAGAAUGAAGAGGAGGUCUUAACUGUUCAGGAUCUUGUUGAUUUUUCCCCUGUUUACCGAUGUUUACACAUUUAUUCUGUUUUGGGUGAUGAGGAAACAUUUGAAAAUUAUUACCGAAAACAAAGAAAGAAACAAGCAAGACUGGUAUUGCAGCCCCAGUCAAGUAUG